rnacentral:tRNA from 1 species
GGUAAAAUGGCUGAGUUUAAGCAUUAGACUGUAAAUCUAAAGACGGGGAAAAAAUGUCCCCUUUUACCA